CCCCCAAUUUCCACCGCGGCCAAUUCAUGGACAGGAACUACCCCAGCGCCGGCUUCGGGGACCCGCUCGGCGCCGGGGCGGGAUGGAGUUACGAGAGGUCAGCGAAAGCUAGGUAAGGAGCUGAGGGUGGCCUGGAGGAAGGGGCCAAGGGGUGGGGGCCCAGCCCGGCCGGGCCUGGCCCGCCUGGCGAAGCGUGCAUCGCAAACUCCCCUCCGGCUUGCAAGGGAGCGGCCUUCCUCGGUUUGCAACAACGCCGCCGCCCCAGUUUGCAAAUUGCAAACUCCGCCAAAGCCAGCUCCGGCAUGCAAAGGGAGAGAUGCAGCGGGAAAAUGGGGGUGCAAAACAAUUUCGGACGGAAAGGCCCUGGGAAGGUGGGAGGGACUGGCGAAGCAAGGCCUGGAUUUCCCCCCAUCCUUGGAUUCCCGGUUUGCUGAUUCCUCCUCCCUGCAUCCCGGGCUCUGCUCUUGCAUAGGUGGUGUGGAAAGGAGAAUUAGAACGCAGACCUGGGGGGAGCCCCCCCUCCCGUCCUAUUGUUCCGGGACUGCGCGAGGCCGCGCCACUCGGGCCCCCCCCCCCGAAAUUCCGCGCGCAGAGUGGGCACGGGGCCCCGCCCCCUUCCCAAGCUGGGGUUCUGUGUGUGUGAGGGGGGGGUCCUGGAAUCUGAGACACGCCCCCUUGGGCUCCCCCACCCCCAAAGGCAGAGAAUCCUAGUGGAUGGCGAGGAGCGGAGUAUUUGACCUCUUGAGUCCCAGCCGUGAAUUGGGGCCGUUGCAUGGGAAGAUUCAGAUAUUUCCCUGGUGUGUGGUUGUGUGCGUGAGCGUGGGCCCUGUUGGUGCUUAGUUGGCACCCUGCUCACCUGCGAAUCAGCCCCCUUCCUGCUUUUUAUGUCCUGCCUUCACUCUUCACCUGUCCCCAACCCCCCCACCUCCUGGGUUUCCCAGCAUGGCUGGGCAUGACCCCACAUGUGUUAGGAUUUUCCAUUUGGGACUUCUCGCUCUGUAUAUUUCCUUCCCCACGGGUGAGCUGGAUAGUCGUUUGCACACACACCUGGCUUUGCAAGGGCCCAUGCAUUUGAACCUCAACCCUGCGGGAUGGACGUUGUUCAUGUUCACACUUGUACCUGGUACUUUCCCCUAGUCCUAUCCCCUCCCCACCCCCCAUCCCAGCCUUUUGGGGAACAAUCUACCUCCUGCUCCUGACUCGGGACCCUAUAUGAGGUUCAGGGCCAUGUGUUCCCACGUGUCUGCAUUAGAGUGGGCGUCCGUGUGCACCCCUCAGGUGGGCCCCGGGGCCUUGUGUCGUCCAGGGGAUAGUGGGCUCGGUAGGAAGUCCAUGCCUUUUGAAUUUUCAACUUGGGGCACUUCCCUCUGACUCUUCACCCUCUUCUGUUUGCCUCGUCGUUGUGCAUGUCUGUUUGUAAACGUGAGACUAUCUGGGCUCUAUUUAUUGGGGCUUGAGCGGGGAAUGUUUCAUGGCUCUUUUCAUUGGGUACCCCGGUUCCCUUGGUCUUCUUUCCUUUAGGGCCCAAGGUUCCUUAGGGAUAACCCCCAGUCAGCUGUAAGAUUCCCCCCACACCCCGGUUGAUUUGCUGAGUUCCAUUCUCCUAGGGUAGCUGCAGAGGACACCCUAACAUCUCUCCCUUCCCCCCAGCUUGGUCUAUGGCAGCUCCAGGACCUCGCACCCCGAGACCGACAUCUUACACCGCCAGGCCUACGCGGCCCCCCACCCACUGCAAAGCUAUGCCACCAACCACCACCCAGCAGGUACGGCCCCCGUCCCGCCCCGCCUGGGCUGGCCCUCCCUCCCAGGCAGCUGGUUGGCUGCUCAAAGUUCCACCCCUCCUAAUUGGCCGUGCCCUGCGUCCUGGCCCGCCCCUUGCUGCCUCUCCUCUGAUUGGUUGCCUCUGAGGCUGCUGGUCCCUGCUCAAUUUCACGCUGGAUUCGUCCACCCUUGUCUCUGGCCCCGCCUCUUUCGCUCCAAUUGGCCCCGUCCCCUCAGCCCCCAAAUCCCACCUUCUCUUCCAGGCUUUUCCUCCUGUCUAUCCCACCCCAAUCCUUUCCCUCUAGGUUUGCCCAUCCUCUUGGCUCCUUGGCGCUCUGAAUUCGUUCUUCCUGAUUCCUUUUCUUUCUGAUUGGCUCUAAGUCUUUGGACCUCCCUUUUUUUCCUUGGGUCUGCCCACCACCUUAUUCUUUUCCCUGUAGUCCUACCUCUAAUGAUUCUGAUUGGUUUCCUUCUUCCUGGGUGGACCUGCAAGUAGAUUACAUUAUCCAAUUUGAUCCUUAACUUUCCUGGUUGGCUCCUUCCCUUGUCUCCUCCUUAUUUUUUUUUUUGGUUUUUGUUUUUUUUUUCUGGAUCCUCCCACUUGAACUCAAUCCCUUUAGACCUGCCCUCUUCCUACUAAGUGGCUCCAGUCAUCCCAUCUUUCCCCCUUCCUUGCUAGAAUUGCCCAAAUCCUUUUGUGUCUCCCUCCCCCUUCCACCAAGAACUCUGUCCUGUUGUGCCCACUUCCUUUGAUUCUGGGUUUUUCUACUCUUUUGUUUACCUUUCCUCUCCUGGGCUCCCUGCCCUUACGAUUGGACUACACUCCAUCCUGCUUAUUGCUUUCCUUUUUCCCCUUUGUCAUCCUCUGCCCUGUCUCCUCAGCUUGGCUGUGUCCGCUUUAUCCCCUUGGAAUCUAUCUCUUUACAUUUUCCAACCCUUUUCCCUGACCUGACUUGCUUUUGGCCUCUUCCUUUUCCCUUUCAACUUGGCCUUCUACCCCACUUUGCUGACUCUAACCCCCUUGUCCUUGGCCAGGCCUCUCUGGACUCUUCGACACUGGCCUCCACCACGCGGGCUCAGCAGGGCCCGACGCCUCCGUCAUGAACCUCAUCUCGGCCCUGGAGUCCCGGGGCCCCCAGCCUGGCCCCUCUGCCUCCUCUCUCCUCUCCCAGUUCCGCAGUCCUUCCUGGCAAACAGGUAAGCCCAGCGCCGACCCAGGAGGGCCAGGGUGGGGCUGGCAUGUGGUCCGCCCUGACCUGUGGUCUUCUCCGUCAUCCCUAGCCAUGCACACGCCAGGCCCCACGGAGCUCUUCAUUUCGGGCGCCCUGCCGGGUUCCAGCACCUUUCCAUCCUCCUCUGCCCUGUCGGCCUACCAGCACCCGGCUUCCUUCGGCAGCCGCCCCUUCCCAGUGCCCUCGUCCCUCAGCCUUCAAGAUCCCCCAUUCAGUCCCCCAGCUAACGGGCUCCUGUCCCCUCAUGAUGUGUUGCACCUAAAGCCCUCGCAAGCACCCACGGUGCCAUCCUCGCUGGGCUUCGAGCGCCUGGCAGGGGGCGGUGUCCUGGGGCCUGCUGGUCUCGGCCCGGCCCAGACCCCUCCUUACCGCCCUGGCCCUCCUG
rnacentral:lncRNA from 1 species